rnacentral:rRNA from 1 species
GAUGAACGCUAGCGGCAGGCUUAAUACAUGCAAGUCGAGGGGCAGCAUGAUUGUAGCAAUACAAUUGAUGGCGACCGGCAGACGGGUGCGGAACACGUACACAACCUUCCAAUAAGUGGGGAAUAGCCCAGAGAAAUUUGGAUUAAUACCCCGUAACAUAACGAUGUGGCAUCACAUUGUUAUUAUAGAUUUUUCGCUUAUUGAUGGGUGUGCGGCUGAUUAGAUAGUUGGCGGGGUAACGGCCCACCAAGUCUACGAUCAGUAGCUGAUGUGAGAGCAUGAUCAGCCACACGGGCACUGAGACACGGGCCCGACUCCUACGGGAGGCAGCAGUAAGGAAUAUUGGACAAUGGACGCAAGUCUAAUCCAGCCAUGCCGCGUGAAGGAUUAAGGUCCUCUGGAUUGUAAACUUCUUUUAUAAGGGACGAAAAAAGGCUUUUCUAAGUCGUCUGACGGUACCUUAUGAAUAAGCACCGGCUAACUCCGUGCCAGCCGCCGCGGUAAAAC